UAGGGAAUCUUCCACAAUGGACGCAAGUCUAAUGGAGCAACGCCGCGUGAGUGAAGAAGGGUUUCGGCUCGUAAAGCUCUGUUGUUAAAGAAGAACGUGGGUAAGAGUAACUGUUUACCCAGUGACGGUAUUUAACCAGAAAGCCACGGCUAACUACGUGUCAG
rnacentral:rRNA from 1 species